UACGUAGGGUGCAAGCGUUAAUCGGAAUUACUGGGCGUAAAGCGUGCGCAGGCGGUUUUGUAAGUCUGACGUGAAAUCCCCCGGGCUCAACCUGGGAAUUGCGUUGGAGACUGCAAGGCUAGAAUCUGGCAGAGGGGGGUAGAAUUCCACGUGUAGCAGUGAAAUGCGUAGAUAUGUGGAGGAACACCGAUGGCGAAGGCAGCCCCCUGGGCUAAGAUUGACGCUCAUGCACGAAAGCGUGGGGAGCAAACAGG
rnacentral:rRNA from 1 species